rnacentral:rRNA from 3 species
CACGUAGGGGCCAAGCGUUGUCCGGAUUUAUUGGGCGUAAAGAGCUCGUAGGCGGUUCGACAAGUCGGGUGUGAAAACUCCGGGCUCAACCCGGAGACGCCACCCGAUACUGUCGUGACUGGAGUCCGGUAGGGGAGUGGGGAAUUCCUGGUGUAGCGGUGAAAUGCGCAGAUAUCAGGAGGAACACCGGUGGCGAAGGCGCCACUCUGGGCCGGUACUGACGCUGAGGAGCGAAAGCGUGGGUAGCAAACAGG